rnacentral:rRNA from 1 species
UACGAAGGGGGCUAGCGUUGUUCGGAAUCACUGGGCGUAAAGGGCGCGUAGGCGGCUUUGUAAGUCGGGGGGUGAAAGCCUGUGGCUCAACCACAGAAUUGCCUUCGAUACUGCAUGGCUUGAGACCGGAAGAGGUAAGUGGAACUGCGAGUGUAGAGGUGAAAUUCGUAGAUAUUCGCAAGAACACCAGUGGCGAAGGCGGCUUACUGGUCCGGUUCUGACGCUGAGGCGGCGAAAGCGUGGGGAGCAAACAGG